rnacentral:rRNA from 1 species
UGCAGUCGAGCGCCCCGCCAGGUGAGCGGCAGACGGUGGAGUAAGGCGUGGUAAUCUACCAUUUGCUACGCCCUGCCAGUUGGAAAAGACUGCUAAUACCGUAUGUGCCCUUUGGGGGAAAGAUUUAUCGGCUCUGAUAGGCCCGCGUUGGAUUAGCUAGUUGGUGGGGUAAAGGCCUACCAAGGCGAUGAUCCAUAACUGGUCUGACAGGGUGACCACCCACACUGGGACUGAGACACGGACCGGACUCCUUGGGGCUGCAGCACUGGCCAAUAUUGUACAAUGGGCGCAAGCCUGAUCCAUUCAUGCCUGGUGAAUGAUGAGAGCCCUCGGCUUCUAAAGCUCUUUCACCGCCUAAGAUAAUGACAGCUCUUUCAGAAGAAACCACGGCUAACUUCCUGCCCCUGCCCCGAAAAUGCAGCUAACU